CACUACCAUGCUCUUCGACGGCGGUCGUGAACUCUCGUUAGUCAUACUGUAAACAAAACUAAGGCGCAUGCAGUCGACCGCUUUCUGCUCGGAGUAGAACUCGUGGAAGUUGGGGAUGCCCGCGAACAUCACGCCCACCUCGUGCCGCCACUGCGAGUACAGCUCCUGCCGGCCAAACCAAACUUUCCCCUUUACAAUACUAUAUUGUGCAACAUGGAAAUGGUUGACGACGUGGUCGGGCAGGAUGUGCUUGAGCAGGUACCGGUUGGUGCGCUGGUUGUCGCGCAUCUGCUCGAGAUUGGUCUCGGCCUGCAGCUUCCACAGGAAGUCCAGC